AUUGAACGCUGGCGGCAUGCUUUACACAUGCAAGUCGAACGGUAACAGGUUAAGCUGACGAGUGGCGAACGGGUGAGUAAUGCAUCGGAACGUGCCCGAUCGUGGGGGAUAACGCAGCGAAAGCUGCGCUAAUACCGCAUGCGAUCUGAGGAUGAAAGCGGGGGACCGUAAGGCCUCGCGCGAUCGGAGCGGCCGAUGUCAGAUUAGGUAGUUGGUGGGGUAAAGGCUCACCAAGCCAACGAUCUGUAGCUGGUCUGAGAGGACGACCAGCCACACUGGGACUGAGACACGGCCCAGACUCCUACGGGAGGCAGCAGUGGGGAAUUUUGGACAAUGGGCGAAAGCCUGAUCCAGCAAUGCCGCGUGCAGGAAGAAGGCCUUCGGGUUGUAAACUGCUUUUGUACGGAGCGAAAAGGCUCUCUCUAAUACAGGGGGCUCAUGACGGUACCGUAAGAAUAAGCACCGGCUAACUACGUGCCAGCAGCCGCGGUAACAC
rnacentral:rRNA from 1 species